GUAUAAACACACUCAAUAUCUGCUGAUACACACUUUAUUUGCUUGGUAUAUGAUGCCCCAAAGUGAGCUUUUAGCCUUCAGUUGACGUUUUGGGCACUGAACAGCUGGUAGUCAACAGGAAUGGUAUCUGCGGGGUUGGGAAAGAGUAUAAACAUGAUGAAAUCCUUGUACUUCCUGCGGGACUAUUUGUACUGAUACUCGCCAUUGCAUCUGUACUUCAGAUUGGACCAGAUGAUGUUUUCCUGUGAGAAGCAGAAGACACCCAGCCUGCCUCCUCUCAUGCUGGUGUCAAUGAUUACGCCUGUGUCCGCCACCAGGUCUGAACCCUCGAAGAAGCGAGCCCUGUUACCAGGGCAGAACAUAAUUAGUUUGUGAUGAUGUGAAAGUGUGUGCGUGUGUGUGCUUCAAUACCUGAUAUAUCCAACCUGAGGUCUAUGCUGGAGAAACCAGCGGUAGGACACCUUGUCCUUCCAGCCCACAUUCCUGGGAUCUUUCCAAAGGAGGCGGACUUGCUCCGGUGUGUCUCCGGUGUGCCACAGGGAGUUCCUCAGAUACUCACCAGGUCCUGUUUUGGACUUCACUGCCUGGGGGAGGUUUACACAGAAUAAGAGCAAAUAGGCGACUAGACGAAGACAGCAAGCACCUACGUACCUUAAGCUGUAUUCCUGGCUCGGCCACAGCUCGGAAUGGUGCGGCCUGCCAGUAGGUCUGCUCCGUCUGUUUCCACAUGACCACGUAGAAUGAAGACGAGUCUUGGUAACCAAAGAUAAAGCCAGCAUAGUCGUCGUCCGUCACAGUGUUGACGUGGAACGUUCCCUCAAAGUCUACGCCACUGAAGGCUGUGUAGCCUGCAGAGGACAUUGGUUUGUCAGUGUGGCAUUUAUUUUCUCACGUGAUCACUAAAAAUCUGUUCAUUUUGCCUUGAAACAUAACUGAAGUUAUCUUUAUUUUUCUCAAGCUGCAUGUUCCAGGGGAGGGGCAAUCAUGAGAUGUUACACUCACCGACAGCUAGACCAGGGUCAGAGUUCAUGGUUUGGACUAUCUCCAUCCCCUGUGUGGACCAAACAUAGUCACCUCAUGUUAUCCUUACAUUUAAAAAUCCCUCCCAAGGACUGUGCUAAAGGGCCAAAGAAAGACAAGAUACCAUGCAUGUGUGACAUCUAGUGGCUGGGAGCAGAAUAGAGGAUGGCUAUGAGAACAGCACUGGGGGGUUUUCUUCUUGAUGUUCCAUAUAAUGACGAGUUCCACAUUUUGGAGCCAAUUUGAAAGCGCUUGACCACAGAAACGUUUAAAAGUUCACCCUAUAGAACGGCUAUUCAAAUGGCGGCCUACGAACCAAAUCUGCGAAUGACAUCAGACCAGCACGCCAGUUCGGUUAAAAACUUGGGCGUGGCUAACAUUGUAGCAGCAGAUUCCUAAAACCAUCACAGUGCUGUCAGAAAGAGGAUUGUUUUUUGUUAUGUUCUUAACACGUGCUCCUGUUACGGGGAAUCUUUAACCAGCUUUGUUUUUUCUUUUUAAAUAGAUCCUUAAGACGGCACUGCUCCUGUUAUAUAGGUCAGUGGUUAUAUAGGUCACCCCGUACCGGGCCGUGGGUCAUUUGGUACCGGGCCGCACAGAAAGAAAAAAUAAUUUCCAUUAUUUCAUGUUUUGUUUUAUUUUGAAAAGUGGCCGGAUUCUCUCUGUUACAUCCGUCUCACUUGACGCAUGUCCAUUGUGCGUGUGCUAACUUUCUCUCAUAUGCCGCACAGAUAGACUACUACUGUAUUUUUACCAUUUUUCUUUCACCUCAUAUUUGUUGUCAAAUGCUGAUACUAUGUGGGAAUGCAUAAAGGCGUCGCCCGUCCCGUCCCUGUCGGCGUCCUCCUGGCCAGAAUUUGGAACGAAGACACAGUUGUCCUGGGAACAACAAGGGAAUACACACUCAAUAAUGAAUCCCGCAGCUCAGAAAGUGGAUUAGUAAGAUUGCAGAAAGAAAAAACAAAAACGCUGGCUUUUCCUCUGUGGAAGGACGACAGUUACAAGCACCUUCCAGCUCACGCAUGCCUGACCCCUCCGGGAUGCAUCGGUGCUCUGAUGCUACCAUCCCUCUGUACAACACACUCGGCAUUGGCGUCACACGGGUUGGGCUGGCCGUUGGGACACAGCCUCGUUCCCUGGCAGCCGCUCACCUGGUCACCCGUGAAGCCAUUUUUACAGUCUCCACAGCGGAAGGAGCCCUGGAGAGUGGAGCACAUGGCCAUCAGGUCAUGUGGUGAGUACGCAGCCUUUCCGGUCUAUUUUUCAGUCUUACUAUAGUGUUGUAGCAGUGGGAGUCGGCGGUGCAGCCUCCAAUCUCAGGCGGGUUCAAGCACUCAUCUAUAUCUUCACACACCUUCAAGAACAACAGUUGUCAUGUCAUUUGUGCAACAUUUUCAUUGUUUAUAUCCAGACGAAUAGCACUACAAUGAUGUGAAUACCUGCUUGCUUGACUGGGCACUGGAUAUUCCCACACCAUUUAUCUCUGGUCCCCUGUAUCCCAGAGGACAUUUGCCACAUCGGUACCCAGGUGCAGUGUUCUCACAUCUCACACCAGAAAAACAUGGAUUGAGCUGGCACUGAAUCACAACAUAACAUGCACGCCAUCCCCUGUGUAGCCAUCAGGACAGGGAGCACACUGGUAGCCCCCUGACGAAGAGGGAAUGCACAUGUCCUGUCGGAAACAAGUCCCAGGCGGGCAGGAAGGAGACCCGUGUUGGCCCACAGGUGGACCUGUGUUGGUUGGAUUUCCACUGAGACCUACAUACAACAUGCAGUUGGGGUGCUUGACGGAGUUAAAGUCAAAUUCAAAAAUUAAAGUAAAAUUCCUCCACAUCAAACUCAUCCAAGCACUUUGCGCACGCAAACUGUCUUCAGGCUAAGCAAUGUCGGCUCAAACCCGUGUGCUCUGUGGCCAAUUGCAUUAAGGUUAGUGAUUAUGUGCUGCUUACCGCAUGCAAGACACUCUGCGAUGGUGUUCCUCAGAAAGUUGGUCUCUUUAAUCUAGAACAGAAAAAUACAUCAUACUCAGUUUAGAAUGAGUCACCAUCGUUUUUGAAAUGAUGUAUAAAAUUUUAUGGACAGUCAAACCUCGGUUUUUGCACGCCCGAUUUUUGUAUGAUUCGAGUUCCACAGAAAAUUUUGGCUAAAAUGUUGCCUUGGUUUUUGUACACUUUCUCGGGUUUCAUACAGUAUUGCACGCAACAAACAGUUUUUCGAUUCUAUUCUCAAUAAAAAUGUAUUUUUUGUUAUUAUUUGUGGGUAUCAGGAACGGAUUAAUUGGAUUUACAUGAUUGCCGAUGGGAAAAAUUGCCUCAGCUUUUGUACCUUUCGGUUUUCGUCAAACCUUUUGGAACAAAUUAAUAAUGAAAACCAAUGUAGCACUGAGGUACCACUGUACUGGAUAUUAAGGGAAUAUGCCUCUGCAGUAGUUCCCUUUCAUUGAGCUAUCUGAGGCUGAGAUGUUGCCUCACAGUCUGAAGUAUUUCCUAAUAAAUAUUUUUUUUCCCAUAAAAGUACUACCCAUUUCAACUUUUUUAACGUUUGUUUCUGAGGUUUCGCAAUGCCUUGAAAACAAGAUAAUUCCAGAAACUCAGCAGGUCGGUUUUAAUGACAAGCAGUUGAUUUUAUUGCAUAAGCUUUCUCAGAACACAUAAUUGCAAUUGCAAGGUCACAUUCCUCACCUUUAACAGUAACAACACACUUUUAUUCUAUACGUGUUUACACAUUUCUAUACCUACCCGUUGUGUGUAAUUGUCAAUCUGUGUGUGUUUCAUACAAGAUAUUCCAGGCCAGGCAUACACAACAAGUUACCUGCUCACUGAGCAGCUCCUUCAUCUCAGCCAGCAUGGUCCUCAAUUCCUCCAUGGUGAUCUGCUCUUGAACGCCCCGGCUUGCCUGGAAACCUGAGAACAUGACAUAAAGAAGGCCAUGACACCAUUUAUUUUUGGUCUGACUGUUGAACUGCUACCAUGCUAUAUAACAAUACAUACUGUACUUAUAUAUGCUGCUCACUACUGUUCAACGGGCAAGACAAAAGGCAAUUCAAUUCAAUUUUAUUUAUAUAGCACCAAAUCACAACAAAAGGAAUCUCCAGGCACUUUACACAUGAGGUAGGUCUAGGAUCACACUCCUCAGAAAUGAAUGGAGAAACCGACCAAACCCCACAUGAGCAAGCACUAGGCGACGGAGGCAAGGAAGAAUUCCCCCUGGGGAAGAAACCUUGAACAGAAAGCAGGUUUUGUGGGGUGGCCAUCUGUCUCGACCGGUUAGGUUAGGAUAGAAAAAAUAGAGUUGUACACGGAGAGAUGAUACUAUAGACCAAGUGAGAAAACAGUCCAAGGAACAGGGAGGCGUAUCAGGAGAAAGGGGUCAGUCUAACUACAGUAUAUGCUUUAGCAAAAAGGGGAGUUUUAAGAUUACUUUUAAAUAGAGAGAGGGUGUCUGCCUUCGGGAUUGAGUAAGGGAGAUGGCUCCAUAACAGAGGAGCCCGAUAACUAAACGCGCUGCCUGCCACUCUACCGCUAAAAAUUCUAGGAUUCGCAGGUAAGCAUAAAGUCUGGGAGCGCAGUGUUCUACUGGGUUGAUAGGGCACUAGAAGCUCUCUAAGAUACGUACAUUGGUGCCUGACCGUGCAGUGCUUUAUAUGUAAGAAAGAGAAUUUUGAAGCCACUUUUAAAUUUUACAGGUAACCAGUGCAGUGAGGCGAGUACGGGUGAAAUAUGAUAUCUUCUUCUAGUUCUGGUUAAGGCUCUUGCAGUGGUGUUUUGGACCAACUUGGGGGGUCUUUUAAGGUUUGUUAGGAUAAUCCAUUAACAGGGAUUCAAACAAAUCCAGCCUGGGGGUCACAAAAGCAUGAACAAGCUUUUCAGCAUCUGGUAGUGGCAGGAAAUUUCAGUUUCGUUUCGUAGAUGAAAAAAUGCUGUUCUUGACACUUGUCGUAUUUGGGAACCAAUGCAAAGGUCUUGAUCAAAGAUGACACCAAGUUUCCUGACUGUGCUCCCGGGUGGUGAUUGCAAGACCAUUUAGGGCGGUCAUCUCAUUUGCAACCUUGUCUCUGAGGUGGGUGGGAACCAAGGACUAUGAUUUCAGUUUUAUCUGAAUUUAAUAGUAAGAAAUUUGAAGUCAUCCAGCUGUUGAUGUCUUUAAGGCAUACCUGGAGUUUGGGCAGCUGAUUUGUUUUUUUCGGUUUCAUUGAUAAAUAGAGUGACAUAUUUGAUAAACAGAAUCACACAUUUGCUUAGUAAUUUGAUUACUGGUCUUUACAAUACAAAUAUAUUACAGUCGUACGCUCAUUGGGGCCUUUUAUUGUUUAUGACUACUCUUUUUUAUUACCCACUCUCCAUCGAGAUACAGGGUUCAUUUAAACCUAAAUUUUAAACUUAUGUCAAUGAUUUAAGCUCUUACAAUUUUCUUACAUUUCUGUGUAGUAUUGCAAAAUCCAUUUGGUUUAAACGUGCCAUAUUAUACAACAAAAGUGAAUCCUCCUACCUCCACCUAGGGUUUUUUUGUUGUAAAAACUCUGCUUCAAAAGUAACCGUUUGAGCACUUCUUCUCUGAAAAGUGGAGCAAACAAAAUGAGGGGGAUGAUAGAUUUUUCUCCUGUUUGGUGGUCAUAAACAGGCUCCACCAAUACAUAUUUCUGUUAGAAACACAUUCAAAAGUCAACUCAGCAUAAUAAGGGACAUGUAAAGUAAAACAACAUUUUAUUUAAAAUGUUAGUAUUUUUCAUUUUUCCACUUACUCAGAAGCUGCAGAGCAUCAGUCUGAUCCGAGCUGCAGUCCUGCAGUGUUGCCACAUUGUCUAUGGUGUCGUCUAUCACCAGCUUCAUGUCAGUCAAUUCACCCUUUUCCACAAAGACAAAUAGAGUAAAAGUAGUUAAUUGUUGCUACGCAACAAUGCCCUUUCAUGGAACCCCACCUGCCCAUUUGACUUCAGCGUUCUCAGUGCCACCGAGUUGGGACCAGGUGGGAGGGAUCCGAAGGCAGCUGGCAGGUCAUCCAGAGUGUGCGCCAGCCUGCAGUCCACAUAGAUGUUGAGGCGAGGUGGGCCACGAUUCAGGCCACUUGCAUGUAGCAUCACGUGGUGGUUCCUGCCAUCAGCCAGGGAGGCGUGGUUAAAAGUGGUUGUGCCAAAUCUACCGUCAGCCUUCUGGUAUCUCAGAGUGACUAGACAUGGAAAGAUGAGGUGUUGAAAGAGAGCAAACACACUAACAGUGUUUCAAGUAAUGCAACUCACUCUUGUUCAGCUUGGCCUGCACAUUGAAUUCCAAGUACUUGCUGUUUUCUUUGGGAUUAAUGACGCUGUACAGGGACGUGGGGACCUUCUGAUGAAGUCUGAAGGAGGACAGCAGGAAAGCCUCGUCUCGCCCUUUAUUCUUUAAACUCCCUUGGAGCAAGUCUGGCAGGCAGUCCGGCGACACCAGAAGGUCGUAAACUAGCACAGGUGAAAACCGACAUAAGUGGCAGCUCUACGGGCAGACAAUCUGUUAUGCAAUGCUGGUUUAUCUGAGAUUUGUUUGGAUUUUGAACCAAAUUCUCCCAUGGGAAAUAAUAAAACAUGCAUGUUAGGUUCAUCGUCACCGUCAACUUUAUUUCAGACACAUACAUGAUCCAUAGAACAUUAAAAACAAACAGACAUCAGCAACAAGACAGUAUAAGAUGGCUACCGCUUGCUAUGUAAGUGUCUGUGUUUCCACAAACUCGAAAAGAACCUGACCGAGCUUUGUACAGGGUUGGUCAGAGUGAGUGUAUGUGAUGCUGUUUACAGAGGAUGUUAGCCUACACAUACAUCUGUACAUGAGGCUCCAUAGACACAGCAGCACAGGUUGUUGCAGCAGCCUGAACAAAGAUUUGACUGGCACUAGUCCAGCGGGGCACCUUAAGCAGCAUCCUCAUGCCAUCAUUGUAUGCCACCUGAAGUUUAUGCAUACUGCUUGUUCUAUAAUGCCGUCACAAGUGGGCAGUAUACAUAGGGGAACAAUACAUGUACGCUUUAAAAAGUGCUAUUUUAACAGAUACUGGGCACAUACAGAACUUACAAACAGGCAGUUCGCUUGUGCAUAUUGCAUACAGCACUGCCUGUAAAUGUCUCUAUUGUCUGACAGGUCAGUGCAUGUGUAGUGAUGUUGUCUGCCAGACAGAAGUCAGGAAAACCUGUAAUGACCUCUUUAUUACCUCUGAAUUGUAUUUAAUAUCAAAGUCCAAGCCAUACUGUAAGCAAGCCCUUAACAACUGCUGUAGACCAGCACUGUAUGGACAGAAAAUUACGAGAUCCCCCUUCUUGCUUUUGCAUAUUGUAGCUCUACUUAAAACCUGGUUCAAUUUAUCACAGCAAGUCUUCCAGGUCCUGAAGCAGCAAAACAGCCCCAGACCAUCACACUACCACCACCAUAUUUUACUGUUGGUAUGACAUUCUUUUUCUGAAAUGCGGCAUUUUCCCAGAUGUAAUGGGACACACACCUUCCAAAAAGUUCAACUUUUGUCUCAUCCAACCAAAGAGUAUUUUCUUUAAGGUAUUGGGGAUCAUCAAGAUGUUUUCUGGUAAAAUUGAGACAAGCCUUAAUGUUCUUUUUGUUCUGCAGUGGUUUUCAUCUUGGAACUCUGCCAUGCAAGCCGUUUUUGCCCAGUGUCUUUCUUAUGGUGGAGUCAUCAACACUGACCUUAACUGAGGCAAGUGAGGCCUGCAGUUCUUUGGAUGUUGUUGUGGGGUCUUUUGUGACCUCUUGAAUGAGUCGUCGCUACACUCUUGGGGUCAUUUUGGUUGGCCAGCCACUCCUGGGAAGGUUCACCACUGUUCCAUGUUUUCAUCGUUACUUUAUUUCUUUCUGGGGGGGGAGUCAAC